rnacentral:lncRNA from 1 species
GUCCCUCCCCCAACCACCCCGAACGGAUAGACAGGCACGUACAAUUCAGAGGACUUUCGAAAUUAUCUAAAAACAUGGGUGAUUCUCACUGCCAGCCUUGUCUGUGAGAAAAGUACAUAUCUAUGUCUGCACAGAUACGAGACAAAAAAUAAACCUUUAAUUUUUAAAAAUUAAAAUGUACACAGUAAUCUUGCUGUUAGUAUUGAAUUAAAACUAAAUAGGCAUGACUGUUCCUUGAAAGGAAUGAUAUAAUUUUCUUUAAUAUUUCAUGAGGUCUUCCCUUUUCAAUAAAGAUUAUUGCAAGUCACCAGAAAUAUUAGGUAUCUUGAGGUAUAUUCAGAUCGUUUUAAUUGUCCUCUCAAAUGAAAAAGGUCAAUAUACAAAUCCACCAUAAUCAGUUUUGUUAUUAUUCAUAUUUAAUUGGACCUGCCAGUCAAGUUAACUCCCAGGAUAUGGGAACACGGUAAAAUUCUAAGUACCACAGGUUAUAAAAAAGUUCCUCAAAACCAGUACUUA